rnacentral:lncRNA from 1 species
CUGGAACUCCAUUCGGUCUCUGAGGUGUACUGGCAAGGCGUUUUUCCAAGAUGCUUUCUUCAUGCUCUACUGGAUCACAAGAAUGUUAAGUAGCUGUCAAUACCAUACAGAGUAAUAGAAAGUGUAGUAGGCAGUCUUAUACAUAUAUUUAACCUCUAAUGGGGAUUCACAGGCUUCAGUUGGGCUCCUCUACAGUCAGGAACUCUCCAAAGCGCCCUUGCAGUGGCCAGACUCUGCCCAACUCUGACUGUGCAGUGGUGAAAAAGCAUUUCCUUUUCCUGCUUCUCCCCUCCCUUAGUAAAAAGUACGGUCAAGAUGAUCUGCUAUAGGUCUGAUCCUUCAUUCAGGUAGUAAUUUAAUGCUAUGGAUCCUCAAAGGAAUUUAGCAGAAUUCAGGUGUGGGUGUUUUGUAUGUCUGGGCACUGCUCCGCCCUAGCUUGGACAUCAGGUGUAGAUUUAGGGACGUGGCUUGAGGCACAUUGCUCAAAAUGUGAAUAUCAAGGGGAAUUUUUUUCUCACUCACUACUUGAAGGGCUCAACCAUUCAUUAGCCCAUAAAAAUAUAUAUGCAUUGCUGCAAUAUUACUCAAAACAGUGAAUGAAAUAGCAGUCCUGUUUUUCUUCUAGUGAAAGAAAGUCCAUGUAAAAUUUGGCACCUGCAGUAAGAGCUGAACAAUGAAAUAAACGUACCCAUGAGUGAAGCAGAGCAUUUUUAGCUCAUGGCUUGCUUCGGCUGACAUACAGUUGAUGUCUCUAUUUGACAUGGCCUUCAGGAAGGAUUUCUUUAAUUCAUUUAUAGACCUUGAAGUGUAAAAUUGAUCUCUUCUGGCUGUUUCUGAUACUUCUUAGCAAACAAAUGCUCCUUCCCCCAGGAAAGGCCUUUAUAUACUUAGAUUAAUGAUAUGUAGAGUAACAGGAGCUCUUCAGUCAGCAGUCUAAAGGAUAAGGCUUGAGCUAUGACUGUUUCCUUGCUUAUUAGGAACAGUGUGAUUGGCAUGUCUAAGCAGCAGGAAAACACUAGGCAGCAGGAUAAUUCCACAAGGAAAGAGGAGAAAAGGACAGCCUCUCAAUGUGGCAGCAAUAGCACCAAAAGCCAUCACAACCUGUCUGAGCAGCAGGUAACUGCAAAUACUUUCACAAAAGCACACGCAGAAACAACGAGCCUCUGAAAGCCCUCAGAUGGAAGAUUCUCCCACCCAUCUAAUGCAAGAACAAAGGGAUAAGAUUUACUGGGGAGACUUCAAGUGAAAGCACUUCUGUGUCCUGCAUUUCAUCCUCCACUGAGCUUCAGCUACCAAGGAAAUACAUAGAUGACGACACAUCUGUUAAGAACACAGCAAGAACAAUCUUUCUGCUUUCUCAUCUCAACCACUUCAACAGAGCCAAAUCCUCUCAUCUUGCUUCAUUACAUGUUUACUUGCAUGCUGUAAUCAAAUGUAGCAAACCGAUGUCCAAGAUAACCUCUUGAGUGUACAAUGCACACAGAUUCUCAGAGCUGGAAAUGCUUUUUGUUAUGUCCGACAAGUGGUCUUUGACAAGCCGUGUGUGCAGCGAGUGAUGCAAGGCACUGGCAUAGUCACUGAAUAAUGUGGAAGCAGCCAUGGGGUUGUGCUCUUUGAGUUGAGGGUUCAAGAUCCCCUUGGCUUCCAAGUUAAGCUCAUGGAGAGCUUCAGUCUGGAAAUCUGAUUUAAAGUGACUGGGCUGAUAGUGCUCAACAGAACUGCAGCAAAAUAGAUAAUGUAGCAAGUGUAGGGGUGAAGUCUCUGAAGCCAAGUCUGUAUUAAGCUAUUUUAAAAAAUAAUGAAAAAUCAAUACUACUUCCUGUCUUCAUUUGCUAUCAGGUGAGAAUUUGGUGUUGCUUGUAAUUUUUUCUCAGUGGCUUAGAAGCUUAACUUCUAUCUCAAAGAUGAGCUUGAAUAUUUGGGGAAUGAAGUGAUAUUUAUGGGGCCUAGUAGUUCUCUGCCUGUAUGAUUCUUCCAUAGGAUUCAACAAGGGACUGUUCAAUGUGCUUUUUGGUUAAAUAAAAUCUUCUGGAGCAGUGUUCUGCA